rnacentral:rRNA from 1 species
CCGGCUAACUACGUGCCAGCAGCCGCGGUAAGACGUAGGGGGCCAGCGUUGCUCGGAAUUACUGGGUGUAAAGGGUUCGUAGGCGGUGUGGCAAGUCGGGAGUGAAAUCUCUGGGCUCAACCCAGAGGCUGCUUCCGAAACUGCUGUGCUUGAGUGUGGGAGAGGCGCGUGGAAUUGCAGGUGUAGCGGUGAAAUGCGUAGAUAUCUGCAGGAACACCCGUGGCGAAAGCGGCGCGCUGGACCACAACUGACGCUGAGGAACGAAAGCUAGGGGAGCAAACAGGAUUAGAUACCCUGGUAGUCCUAGCCCUAAACGAUCAGGACUUGGGGUGCUUCACGUUCGUGGAGCGUCCCGGAGCUAACGCGUUAAGUCCUGCACCUGGGGAGUACGGUCGCAAGACUGAAACUCAAAGGAAUUGACGGGGGCCCGCACAAGCGGUGGAACAUGUGGUUCAAUUCGACGCUACGCGAGGAACCUUACCUGGGCUCGAAGCGCACUUGACUAGCUAUAGAAAUAUGGCCUUCCCGCAAGGGACAAGUGUGGAGGCGCUGCAUGGCU